rnacentral:Y_RNA from 1 species
GGCUGGUCCGAUGGCAGUGGGUUAUCAGAGCUUAUUAACAUUAGUGUCACUAAAGUUGAUAUACCACCCCCACCCACUGCUAAACUUGACUGGCUGAAA